UGCGCUAUCAGAUGAGCCUAGGUCGGAUUAGCUAGUUGGUGGGGUAAUGGCUCACCAAGGCGACGAUCCGUAACUGGUCUGAGAGGAUGAUCAGUCACACUGGAACUGAGACACGGUCCAGACUCCUACGGGAGGCAGCAGUGGGGAAUAUUGGACAAUGGGCGAAAGCCUGAUCCAGCCAUGCCGCGUGUGUGAAGAGGUCUUCGGAUUGUAAAGCACUUUAAGUUGGGAGGAAGGGCAUAACCUAAUACGUUAGUGUUUUGACGUUACCGACAGAAUAAGCACCGGCUAACUCUGUGCCAGCAGCCGCGGUAAUACAGAGGGUGCAAGCGUUAAUCGGAAUUACUGGGCGUAAAGCGCGCGUAGGUGGUUCGUUAAGUUGGAUAUGAAAGCCCCGGGCUCAACCUGGGAACUGCAUUCAAAACUGUCGAGCUAGAGUAUGGUAGAGGGUGGUGGAAUUUCCUGUGUAGCGGUGAAAUGCGUAGAUAUAGGAAGGAACACCAGUGGCGAAGGCGACCACCUGGACUGAUACUGACACUGAGGUGCGAAAGCGUGGGGAGCAACAGGAUUAGAUACCCUGGUAGUCCACGCCGUAAACGAUGUCAACUAGCCGUUGGGAGCCUUGAGCUCUUAGUGGCGCAGCUAACGCAUUAAGUGACCGCCUGGGGAGACGCCG
rnacentral:rRNA from 1 species